rnacentral:rRNA from 1 species
CAGCCGCCGCGGUAAUACGAAGGGGGCUAGCGUUGUUCGGAAUUACUGGGCGUAAAGGGCGCGUAGGCGGCCAUUCAAGUUAGAUGUGAAAGCCCUGGGCUCAACCUAGGAAUUGCAUUUGAUACUGUUUGGCUUGAGUUCGGGAGAGGUGAGUGGAAUUCCCAGUGUAGAGGUGAAAUUCGUAGAUAUUGGGAAGAACACCAGUGGCGAAGGCGGCUCACUGGACCGACACUAACGCUGAGGCGCGAAAGCGUGGGGAGCAAACAGGAUUAGAUACCCGCGUAGUCCCUGUCUCUUAUAC